rnacentral:rRNA from 1 species
UUCGGGGGACAGGGUGACAGGUGGUGCAUGGUUGUCGUCAGCUCGUGUCGUGAGAUGUUGGGUUAAGUCCCGCAACGAGCGCAACCCUCGACCUUAGUUGCCAGCAUUCAGUUGGGCACUCUAAGGUGACUGCCGGCUAAAAGUCGGAGGAAGUGGGGAUGACGUCAAAUCAUCAUGCCCCUUAUGACCUGGGCUACACACGUGCUACAAUGGGCGGUACAAAGGGUCGCGAACCCGCGAGGGGGAGCCAAUCCCAAAAAGCCGCUCUCAGUUCGGAUUGCAGGCUGCAACUCGCCUGCAUGAAGCCGGAAUCGCUAGUAAUCGCGGAUCAGCAUGCCGCGGUGAAUACGUUCCCGGGCCUU